rnacentral:rRNA from 1 species
GGACUACAGGGGUUUCUAAUCCUGUUUGCUCCCCUAGCUUUCGUCCCUCAGCGUCAGUUGCGAUCCAGCAAGCCGCUUUCGCCUCGGAUGUUCCUGCGGAUAUCUACGCAUUUCACCGCUACACCCGCAAUUCCACUUGCCUCUCUCGCACUCGAGCACGGUAGUAUUGGAAGCAGCCUCUGAGUUAAGCCCAGAGAUUUCACUCCCAACUUACCGCACCGCCUACGGACCCUUUACGCCCAGUAAUUCCGAGCAACGCUGGCCCCCUACGUCUUACCGCGGCUGCUGGCAC